CCCUCUCUCUCCUUUUUUUAGGGUAAUCCCUAACCGUCUCUUUUUUCUUUUUUUUUUCUCCUUUUUUCACCUGAGGAUUUGGAUCUCAUUACCAAACCAAUCUAUAUCUUUUCUCUUUUUCAACUCAAACAUUUGUCUCCACCCCUUUUCGGUGUUUUGAUCCCAUUGUUUUUGACAUGGCAGAUAUGAUUGAUCCAGAUUGGAAAAUGGCAAUUUUGCACAACACCGUGCGAGAACUUGAAAGGCAUAUUCAUGAACUCUAGUGGGAGUUGCGCGCCAUGAGAGCAAGGCCGCUUUAUGAGAUUCGAAGGCUGAGGAGGGCCCUAUUGUUGUCGGUUGACGAUUGGUCGGUUGACAAUAAUAAUAAUAAUAAUAGUUGUAAUAAUAAUAAUAAUAAUAAUAAUUAGGUUAUGUUUUUUCUUUUUAGGAUAUGUAUUCUAUUUUAUUUAUAUUGGAUCUACCUAAACCUAAUUUAUGUUUUGUUCUAUUUUGUUUCGUAUUUUUGUAUGUAAUGAAUGAAAAAAUCUAUGUUUGGCCGA